CCCUAGAGGAGCCUGUUUCAUAAUCGAUAAACCCCGAUCUACCCCACCCUCUCUUGCUCAGCCUAUAUACCGCCAUCUUCAGCAAACCCUGAUAAAGGUUACAAAGUGAGCGCAAACGCCUCCCCGCAAAAACGUUAGGUCAAGGUGUAGCCCAUGAGACGGUAAAAAAUGGGCUACAUUUUCUAUAUCAGAAAACUCCACGAAAACUCUUAUGAAAUUUGAGAGUCCAAGGAGGAUUUAGCAGUAAAUUAAGAAUAGAGUGCUUAAUUGAACGAGGCCAUAAAGCGCGCACACACCGCCCGUCACUCCCCUCAAAUAUAUUUAAGGAGCAUCUUAACUAAACACCCCAAUAUCUAUAUAGAGGGGAUAAGUCGUAACAUGGUAAGUGUACUGGAAGGUGCACUUGGAU
rnacentral:rRNA from 1 species